GAGCCCAGAGCCUGAAUCAGUGUGUGUGUUAGUGGAAGCGUCUGGAAAGGCGCGCGAUACAGGGUGACAGCCCCGUACACAAAAAUGCACAUGCUGUGAGCUCGAUGAGUAGGGCGGGACACGUGGUAUCCUGUCUGAAUAUGGGGGGACCAUCCUCCAAGGCUAAAUACUCCUGACUGACCGAUAGUGAACCAGUACCGUGAGGGAAAGGCGAAAAGAACCCCGGCGAGGGGAGUGAAAAAGAACCUGAAACCGUGUACGUACAAGCAGUGGGAGCACGCUUAGGCGUGUGACUGCGUACCUUUUGUAUAAUGGGUCAGCGACUUAUAUUCUGUAGCAAGGUUAACCGAAUAGGGGAGCCGAAGGGAAACCGAGUCUUAACUGGGCGUUAAGUUGCAGGGUAUAGACCCGAAACCCGGUGAUCUAGCCAUGGGCAGGUUGAAGGUUGGGUAACACUAACUGGAGGACCGAACCGACUAAUGUUGAAAAAUUAGCGGAUGACUUGUGGCUGGGGGUGAAAGGCCAAUCAAACCGGGAGAUAGCUGGUUCUCCCCGAAAGCUAUUUAGGUAGCGCCUCGUGAAUUCAUCUCCGGGGGUAGAGCACUGUUUCGGCAAGGGGGUCAUCCCGACUUACCAACCCGAUGCAAACUGCGAAUACCGGAGAAUGUUAUCACGGGAGACACACGGCGGGUGCUAACGUCCGUCGUGAAGAGGGAAACAACCCAGACCGCCAGCUAAGGUCCCAAAGUCAUGGUUAAGUGGGAAACGAUGUGGGAAGGCCCAGACAGCCAGGAUGUUGGCUUAGAAGCAGCCAUCAUUUAAAGAAAGCGUAAUAGCUCACUGGUCGAGUCGGCCUGCGCGGAAGAUGUAACGGGGCUAAACCAUGCAC
rnacentral:rRNA from 1 species